GUGUGCUGCUAUAGAAACUCUGCAGGGAGCAUGGAAGGAAGAGUUGCACCUUUCCAGAAGAACAGACCAGGAAGCCUGUGGACAGAAGUCCUGUGUCAGUGUGUAGCUGGGAAAGGUGGGUGACCAGAACCAGCUGGAGGCCCAUAGGAGGCAGCAGGUGUUGUGCUCCUUACACAGAGGACACAUACUGCACUUCCAUGAUGUGGGGAACACAGUCCUGCGGAGGCUCCACAUCUUCUUCUGAAGCUGGUGAAGCCACUGAUUCCACUACCACAUCUGCUGCCAUCAUGGAUGGAUCCUCUGCCUUGAUCUCAGGAGCAGUUCUGAUGGAAAUGUGAAUAUCUGUGGGAAGAGAGGAGGAAGUCAUGUUUUCAGUGUCCUCUUUUUCUGACAUCCCAGGU